CAGCUCUUUGCUAAUCUCCAUUGUCUUGGAGCUCCACUUUUAGCUACUCUCUCCCACAUAAAACUCCUUGUGUGGAACCUGCUGCUCCUACAAAUGGCCUGACACUCACUGUAACUUAUCUUCACAGUGCACCAUUCAGAAGAAUUUGAAGAGACUGCACAUCAAUCUCUUUCAUUUCUAGAGCAGUUUAGAGGAUUUUUUUUCUUUUAUAUAGGAGUCAUGACAAGAGCCAACUGAAGCUUUUCUGCAAAUACAUCUCCCACGAUAUGUUACUUCUCUUUCUCUUUCACGAUGCUGAAACAGAAAAAGGAAACUACUCUCUCCGUAGUAAAAGGAGCUUCAUUGGAUACCCUGCAAGGUAUAAAAGCUGAAAUGAGAAAUGAGAAAACAUACAAUUCUUUAAGUCUAGGCCUUGAAAAGUUGCCGAAGAUUAGUGAAGAAAGAAAUAAUACGAUCACUACCGCACAUUAUGGAUGGUCAUGAGAAAGGGCUUCUUGCAAAGAGUGGAGGGAGCAAAGAAUGAUGUCAUGCUGGAUGGAUGCUACCACAAGUUCUCCAGUUCUUCCCUCUGAAUUUACGGCACUGUGUUGAUAUAGCUUUAGCUGUCCUCUCUGAUAUAAUGUGUAUGCUGCUUUCAUAUGAAAUAAGUCACAUGAAUGGAGUCAGUGAUUCCUUUCCAAAAUUCCUGACAGAUGUUCCACACACCCCAAAAUUACUGAUCUUUAUUCAAUAAUCAAAUUCUCAGCAGAUAACCAUUUUUCAAAGAAAUGUUAUUUUGCCUGCUAAAUGAAAGGAAGGGAGAUCAUUAACAGUUCUCUAAGAAAUGCAUUUUAAAUGAAAGGCUUUUUUUUUCAGCCUUUGGAAAGAAGAAUAUCAAAAGUUAAACUGAAACAUCCAGGGAAAACUCAAAUUAAUAUGUUAAUUCUGUCAACGUUCAAGGUUCUGAGUCCAAGCCUAGAAGUAGCGUAGCAUAUGGUGAUUUACUGCUCCCUAGCUAUCAUUUUAACUACAGUUUUUGAAAUCACAAAAUAAAUGUUUCAAGUGAAGUUUUCAUCACUCUUUCAAUGUGAAAUAUGUGAGUAUUAGAAUUUCUAUGUUUUGUUUUAAAGAUCAGUUUAUUAUACUAGAAGCCAUCAGUGAUUUUCAUUAAAUAUGUCAAAUUAGAUUGAGCUAGGGAAACAGAUGAUAGAUUAAUAUAUAGUUAAUUUUGUCUUUACAAUGACAAAUUUAACGUCUCUCUAUGGACAUUAUGAAUUUCCCUGACUGACAGAUUUUUUCCUAUUAAAAAGACAAUGAAUCUCUUGAAUUAUAGGUAAAUAAAAUUACAUGGUUAAAAUUUGAUGAAAAUCCGGGAAAAAUUAUGCAGUGUCAACUGCUAAGAUUUAAGUUUCCUAUUUAUUUGUUACUAUUUGAGAAAUUGCCCUCAAUGCUUUGGUGAAGAAAAAAAGUGCCUGUGUAUGAAUGCUGAAGUAGGUCCAUAAAAAAGGAAAUUUGCUAUGAAAGACAAAAUUACGCACAUUUUAGCCUUCCAGAAGUUAAAAAGUUUUAGGAGGUGUUUGUUUCUGAUAACCUAGCUCAGUGCUCAACACUUAUUAGGUAAAUGGGAGAUAUUUAUCAACUGGAUAGAUAGAGGGAUGAUGCAGAGAUGGAUAAAUGAUGGCUGGAUGAAGGAGUACCAUUUUAUUCUAUGGUCUUAAUCCCCUAUUAAAAACAAUUUACCAAUACACGUGUACAUAAGUCUGCAAUAUAAAAGUGUGGCAUGUAUCUUCAUAAAAAUAAAUAUCCAAUAUCUCUGUUAACCCCAUAUAUUUGUGUAUGUUUG
rnacentral:lncRNA from 1 species